UGAGGGACAGCUGAUUUCAAAACAUUUCUGUAGGGCUGUUGAGGAGGAAUGGUCACAUGCCAAAGGCUCCAAAGCACAGUCAGUUUGCAUUUUGUAAUCAGCAUGCCACUGGCUGAGACUUGGGCUCAGCCUGUAACCUGACCUGGGAUACCUCAGUUUGCAGAGGCCCCAGAGAUCUUAAUCCUCCUGAAUUAAAAGGUACCCACAGGAACACAGACUACAGAGCCUUUUCAGCCAUGGGAACAGCCAUUUUCCAGCUUAUGGCUUCUGAUGAAAGCCAGUUACAAGCAUUAGGAUGGAUGCACUCCAAUCCAGUGUUGUGUGGAUUAUGGAUCCCACUGUAAACAAGCCAGCUCAUAGUAAGAAAUGCAAGGAACAUUUGCCCUGAAA